rnacentral:rRNA from 2 species
GGCAGGCGGCGUGCUAAUACAUGCAAGUCGAGCGAACUGAUUAGAAGCUUGCUUCUAUGACGUUAGCGGCGGACGGGUGAGUAACACGUGGGCAACCUGCCUGUAAGACUGGGAUAACUUCGGGAAACCGAAGCUAAUACCGGAUAGGAUCUUCUCCUUCAUGGGAGAUGAUUGAAAGAUGGUUUCGGCUAUCACUUACAGAUGGGCCCGCGGUGCAUUAGCUAGUUGGUGAGGUAACGGCUCACCAAGGCAACGAUGCAUAGCCGACCUGAGAGGGUGAUCGGCCACACUGGGACUGAGACACGGCCCAGACUCCUACGGGAGGCAGCAGUAGGGAAUCUUCCGCAAUGGACGAAAGUCUGACGGAGCAACGCCGCGUGAGUGAUGAAGGCUUUCGGGUCGUAAAACUCUGUUGUUAGGGAAGAACAAGUACAAGAGUAACUGCUCGUACCUUGACGGUACCUAACCAGAAAGCCACGGCUAACUACGUGCCAGCAGCCGCGGUAAUACGUAGGUGGCAAGCGUUAUCCGGAAUUAUUGGGCGUAAAGCGCGCGCAGGCGGUUUCUUAAGUCUGAUGUGAAAGCCCACGGCUCAACCGUGGAGGGUCAUUGGAAACUGGGGAACUUGAGUGCAGAAGAGAAAAGCGGAAUUCCACGUGUAGCGGUGAAAUGCGUAGAGAUGUGGAGGAACACCAGUGGCGAAGGCGGCUUUUUGGUCUGUAACUGACGCUGAGGCGCGAAAGCGUGGGAACGC